CUGCGUGGGUUUUCUCCAGGUACUCCGGUUUCCUCCCACAUUCCAAAAACAUGCAUGGCAGACUGAUUGAACACUCCAAAUUGUCCCGAGGUGUGGGUGUGAGCGCGGAUGGUUUGUUCGUUUCUGUGUGCACUGCGAUUGGCUGGCAAUUGGUUCAGGUCCCACCUACUGCCCAAAGACGGCUGGGAUAGGCUGCAGCACCCUCCGCAACCUUAGUGAGGAUGAAGCGGUUGGGAAAAUGAAUGAAUGAAUAAAAAUGUAAUUGAUUUACAGCAACACAAAAAAAGUUACUGCAGUUCAAGUAGUUUCAAAAACAACAAAGUUGCAGCAAUACUAUAAAUCAUAGUCAAAAAGUAGCCAAUAAUGCACGGCGUCCAAUUUAGUACACACAUGAUGAAUGCCAGUUUCCUCAAAUCACAAAACAAUACUUGUAUAUUCUAAUGAUAUUACUCCUGGGUUGUUGCUUGAUAUCCCAAUUUUUAUUUUAUUUUAUUUUUUUUUUUUACCUGUAAAAGUCUCAGAGAAUAGAAGGAUUGGACAGUUAUUCCUUCCCUACAUGUCAAAAAAAUAAAACAAAGAAAAAUGCGCUCACAGAAGCAGAUCAGUAGAUGGCAAUACACAUAAGGGUCCAUUUAAGUGGCCAAUGCACAACUGUGACAUUUCGAUGGAUUACUAUAGGAGAAAAAAAAAAGUGACUAGCUGUCCAUUGUAGUAACCGCCGUCCCUGAAAGGGAUAACGUACAAAUUAAAAACGAGACCAAAAUGGACCGACUGGUUUUUCACAGGACAGCGCCGAUAUUGACACUCUACAUGUUUUACAAAAUACCAAUCUAAUAAUAUAUUCCUGCAGGAUUAUGAUAUAUCAUCCAGUAAUACUAUGACUAUUCUCAAAUGUACACAAUGAAACUUUUUCUAGUUUACGUACGACGUUAUUCGCAUUUUCUCUGAAUUCUCCUGACCUGUUGCGCAAUUGCUUUUCUUCUCAGCGUGGCCACCAUACUUCACGUACCAAUCAGCACAAUACCGUGCGAUAGUAAUCUAUUGUCUGUAGAUGCUCCAGUCAAAAUGGUGAACUGAAGCGUGUGUAUAUAUAACCACAAUCAAAUGCCAUGAAGAAAUUCUUUACUGCUCGUUUGUGUCAUUUACAAAUUACAGGUAUGUAUAGAUCUAGACAGACUGUUUUCCAUGUGUCAUUUCACCACACGGAUGUAGACCAGAAGUGUCUUGGUGAUUAGCACUAACGUGACCUUGACUCAUCAAGUGCCGCACACGUUCUGUUCGUUAACGACACAAACGCAUUGUACAAUUUCGCCCUCGUAUCCCGUUGUUAUUCUUCUUCUUCUAAAUAUUCCUGAACAUGUAACGAGUCACAAAUGACCCUUUGUGAUGUAACAACGAUCAAGUAUAAUAAAGUGGAUAUUUAACCAUCGUA